rnacentral:lncRNA from 1 species
UGUGUACUUUUCUUCCUUGCGUUGCUCAUUUGGUUAUGUCAAUUUGAUGCGGGUAUCGAAAUCGUCAACUCAAACUCACUCUCCACAUUACCUUGUUUAUCUAGCACAGCUCUCGAUUUAAUUUUACUUCCGCAAAAAUAUAAGGGAAAAUUACUAUCGGGUUGGGCAGCUCACUUCGAGUUCUCGUAGCCAAAUCUGAUGAUACACAUUGACGAUAUUCCCUACCAAAUACUUCUAGAGCUAAUAAAACUCUUAUAAUAAAAUUUAAUUGUCUCAAUUCUUGAGGGAUUGCAUCAAAAAUUUGAAUUCCUUUUGGAUUUCCUUCUUGAUCAAUCACAACUACAGCAUUGUCA